rnacentral:rRNA from 1 species
GAUGAACGCUGGCGGCGUGCCUAAUACAUGCAAGUCGAGCGAACAGACGAGGAGCUUGCUCCUCUGACGUUAGCGGCGGACGGGUGAGUAACACGUGGAUAACCUACCUAUAAGACUGGGAUAACUUCGGGAAACCGGAGCUAAUACCGGAUAAUAUAUUUAACCGCAUGGUUCAAUAGUGAAAGACGGUUUUGCUGUCACUUAUAGAUGUAUCCGCGCCGCAUUAGCUAGUUGGUAAGGUAACGGCUUACCAAGGCAACGAUGCGUAGCCGACCUGAGAGGGUGAUCGGCCACACUGGAACUGAGACACGGUCCAGACUCCUACGGGAGGCAGCAGUAGGGAAUCUUCCGCAAUGGGCGAAAGCCUGACGGAGCAACGCCGCGUGAGUGAUGAAGGUCUUCGGAUCGUAAAACUCUGUUAUUAGGGAAGAACAAAUAUGUAAGUAACUAUGCACGUCUUGACGGUACCUAAUCAGAAAGCCACGGCUAACUACGUG